rnacentral:rRNA from 1 species
UACAGAGGGUGCGAGCGUUAAUCGGAAUUACUGGGCGUAAAGCGUGCGUAGACGGUAGCGUAAGUCGGAUGUGAAAGCCCCGGGCUCAACCUGGGAAUUGCAUUCGAGACUGCGCUGCUAGGGUGCGGAAGAGGGAAGCGGAAUUUCCGGUGUAGCGGUGAAAUGCGUAGAUAUCGGAAGGAACAUCAGUGGCGAAAGCGGCUUCCUGGUCCAGCACCGACGUUCAGGCACGAAAGCGUGGGGAGCAAACAGG